GCAUCUUGCCCUGUCUGGCCGUGCGUCGGUGACCCCAAUGACUGUGCGUGCCCGAAAGCGCAAGAGAGA
rnacentral:snoRNA from 1 species